AAACAAAAUCGGGGUAACAAACUAAAACUGACGGAAACGCAUAAAUAUAAGAGGAGAACAACGACACAACACUACAAUGUAACUAACACACACAGAAACGGACCAAGCAUCAGACAAAAUCCCACGAGAAUAACAAAUAUAAGAUCAAAACCAAAUACAUGAAUUUGGGAUAGACAAGUACCGUGACACGUCUUAUCGCAAUGUCAAUUUACAUUCAAAAAUAAGAGAAAACAAACGACGCAACGUUAAAUUGUAACACACACAG
rnacentral:lncRNA from 1 species